GUGGGGAAACGUGGGGAGGAGGUUUAUUUUUCACGCUGUUCGCCAUGAGAAGGUGAGAAAAGCACACUUUGGUUAAACAUGGUCAUGCAGAAAAUGAAGGCGGACUCUGCAGAGGUCUUGAAUUACUCGUAAACGAGCAGAGAGCCGUGAUUGAUCAGGUGUUUUCCUGCAGAUCUCAUCGUCUCCCAGUUGUCUUCAGUUUCAAAUGUUUCUGUAAUUGCUGCUAAUAAAUAAAACUAAUUAAAACUGUU